GACGAACGCUGGCGGCGUGCCUAAUACAUGCAAGUAGAACGCAGUUGCGAACGGGUGAGUAACGCGUAGGUAACUGCCUCAUAGGGGGGGAUAACUAUUGGAAACGAUAGCUAAUACCGCAUACUGUGAGAUGGACCUGCGUUGGAUUAGGUAGUUGGUGAGGUAAAGGCUCACCAAGGCGACGGUACAUAGCCGACCUGAGAGGGUGGUCCGCCAAACUGGGACUGGGACACGGGCCAGACUUCUUCGGGGGGCAGCAGUAGGGAAUUUUCGGAAAUGGAGGGAAGUCCGGCCGAGGAAAGCCGGGGGAUUGGAGGAGGGUUUCGGGUCGUAAAGGUCUGUUGUUAGGGAAGCGUUAACUACCCAGAAAGGGCCGGCUAACUACGUGCCAGCAGCCGCGGUAAUAC
rnacentral:rRNA from 1 species